UUUUGUCUCCAGUCCUUGCUUUGGGAAUCUCUGCUCAGACCUGCAGUGCCCACUCCAAGGGGGAUCAGCUAAGAAGCCUUCCGUUGCAUGGAUCCUGAGCUCCCCCGACAGCACAGAGUGGGAGCUGGAAAAUGUGUUGUUGGAUCAAAGGAUAGUUGAGUAGGGGGCCUUCAGAUGGCAAGGCAAGACAGGGCACUGAAGACUGAAGAAACUGCAUGAGCAAAGGCUGGAGGUGGUCACAGUGCCAGGUAAGGCUGAAGCGGGAGUGACAGAGAACUCAUGGCUGGAGGGAUGUACAGCACUGCCCACUUCAACCCCUCCCUCUCCCUCAGAAUGCUGAGCUCAUUCUAGAGCCCCAGCAGCAGCCUUCCUGGAGAUAAUCCAGCUGCACUUGAAGUCUCUGGAGACGCCGAGCUCAUUCUUCCCUUGACAUUGCUUUGUAUCUUGGGCGUCUCUGAUGGAUACAAAAUGAACUUCUUUCUUAAAUGAGGUGGGCAUUGAUUCUUUUUGGAGCACCUACUGCUCCUCAAGCUGCC
rnacentral:lncRNA from 10 species